UGUGAGCUCGAUGAGUAGGGCGGGACACGUGGUAUCCUGUCUGAAUAUGGGGGGACCAUCCUCCAAGGCUAAAUACUCCUGACUGACCGAUAGUGAACCAGUACCGUGAGGGAAAGGCGAAAAGAACCCCGGCGAGGGGAGUGAAAAAGAACCUGAAACCGUGUACGUACAAGCAGUGGGAGCAUGCUUAGGCGUGUGACUGCGUACCUUUUGUAUAAUGGGUCAGCGACUUAUAUUCUGUAGCAAGGUUAACCGAAUAGGGGAGCCGAAGGGAAACCGAGUCUUAACUGGGCGUUAAGUUGCAGGGUAUAGACCCGAAACCCGGUGAUCUAGCCAUGGGCAGGUUGAAGGUUGGGUAACACUAACUGGAGGACCGAACCGACUAAUGUUGAAAAAUUAGCGGAUGACUUGUGGCUGGGGGUGAAAGGCCAAUCAAACCGGGAGAUAGCUGGUUCUCCCCGAAAGCUAUUUAGGUAGCGCCUCGUGAAUUCAUCUCCGGGGGUAGAGCACUGUUUCGGCAAGGGGGUCAUCCCGACUUACCAACCCGAUGCAAACUGCGAAUACCGGAGAAUGUUAUCACGGGAGACACACGGCGGGUGCUAACGUCCGUCGUGAAGAGGGAAACAACCCAGACCGCCAGCUAAGGUCCCAAAGUCAUGGUUAAGUGGGAAACGAUGUGGGAAGGCCCAGACAGCCAGGAUGUUGGCUUAGAAGCAGCCAUCAUUUAAAGAAAGCGUAAUAGCUCACUGGUCGAGUCGGCCUGCGCGGAAGAUGUAACGGGGCUAAACCAUGCACCGAAGCUGCGGCAGCGACGCUGAUGCGUUGUUGGGUAGGGGAGCGUUCUGUAAGCCUGCGAAGGUGUGCUGUGAGGCAUGCUGGAGGUAUCAGAAGUGCGAAUGCUGACAUAAGUAACGAUAAAGCGGGUGAAAAGCCCGCUCGCCGGAAGACCAAGGGUUCCUGUCCAACGUUAAUCGGGGCAGGGUGAGUCGACCCCUAAGGCGAGGCCGAAAGGCGUAGUCGAUGGGAAACAGGUUAAUAUUCCUGUACUUGGUGUUACUGCGAAGGGGGGACGGAGAAGGCUAUGUUGGCCGGGCGACGGUUGUCCCGGUUUAAGCGUGUAGGCUGGUUUUCCAGGCAAAUCCGGAAAAUCAAGGCUGAGGCGUGAUGACGAGGCACUACGGUGCUGAAGCAACAAAUGCCCUGCUUCCAGGAAAAGCCUCUAAGCAUCAGGUAACAUCAAAUCGUACCCCAAACCGACACAGGUGGUCAGGUAGAGAAUACCAAGGCGCUUGAGAGAACUCGGGUGAAGGAACUAGGCAAAAUGGUGCCGUAACUUCGGGAGAAGGCACGCUGAUAUGUAGGUGAAGCGACUUGCUCGUGGAGCUGAAAUCAGUCGAAGAUACCAGCUGGCUGCAACUGUUUAUUAAAAACACAGCACUGUGCAAACACGAAAGUGGACGUAUACGGUGUGACGCCUGCCCGGUGCCGGAAGGUUAAUUGAUGGGGUCAGCGCAAGCGAAGCUCUUGAUCGAAGCCCCGGUAAACGGCGGCCGUAACUAUAACGGUCCUAAGGUAGCGAAAUUCCUUGUCGGGUAAGUUCCGACCUGCACGAAUGGCGUAAUGAUGGCCAGGCUGUCUCCACCCGAGACUCAGUGAAAUUGAACUCGCUGUGAAGAUGCAGUGUACCCGCGGCAAGACGGAAAGACCCCGUGAACCUUUACUAUAGCUUGACACUGAACAUUGAGCCUUGAUGUGUAGGAUAGGUGGGAGGCUUUGAAGUGUGGACGCCAGUCUGCAUGGAGCCGACCUUGAAAUACCACCCUUUAAUGUUUGAUGUUCUAACGUGGACCCGUGAUCCGGGUUGCGGACAGUGUCUGGUGGGUAGUUUGACUGGGGCGGUCUCCUCCUAAAGAGUAACGGAGGAGCACGAAGGUUGGCUAAUCCUGGUCGGACAUCAGGAGGUUAGUGCAAUGGCAUAAGCCAGCUUGACUGCGAGCGUGACGGCGCGAGCAGGUGCGAAAGCAGGUCAUAGUGAUCCGGUGGUUCUGAAUGGAAGGGCCAUCGCUCAACGGAUAAAAGGUACUCCGGGGAUAACAGGCUGAUACCGCCCAAGAGUUCAUAUCGACGGCGGUGUUUGGCACCUCGAUGUCGGCUCAUCACAUCCUGGGGCUGAAGUAGGUCCCAAGGGUAUGGCUGUUCGCCAUUUAAAGUGGUACGCGAGCUGGGUUUAGAACGUCGUGAGACAGUUCGGUCCCUAUCUGCCGUGGGCGCUGGAGAACUGAGGGGGGCUGCUCCUAGUACGAGAGGACCGGAGUGGACGCAUCACUGGUGUUCGGGUUGUCAUGCCAAUGGCACUGCCCGGUAGCUAAAUGCGGAAGAGAUAAGUGCUGAAAGCAUCUAAGCACGAAACUUGCCCCGAGAUGAGUUCUCCCUGACUCCUUGAGAGUCCUGAAGGAACGUUGAAGACGACGACGUUGAUAGGCCGGGUGUGUAAGCGCAGCGAUGCGUUGAGCUAACCGGUACUAAUGAACCGUGAGGCUUAACCUU
rnacentral:rRNA from 1 species